CAUGCCGUAAACGAUGUGUGUUAGACGUUGGGAAAUUUAUUUUCAGUGUCGCAGCGAAAGCGAUAAACACACCGCCUGGGGAGUACGACCGCAAGGUUAAAACUCAAAUGAAUUGACGGGGACCCGCACAAGUAGUGGAGCAUGUGGUUUAAUUCGAAGAUACGCGCAGAACCUUACCAACACUUGACAUGUUCGUCGCGACUCUAAGAGAUUAGAGUUUUCGGUUCGGCCGGACGAAACACAGGUGCUGCAUGGCUGUCGUCAGCUCGUGUCGUGAGAUGUUGGGUUAAGUCCCGCAACGAGCGCAACCCUUACUUUUAGUUGCCAUCAUUUAGUUGGGCACUCUGAAAGAACUGCCAGUGAUAAGCUGGAGGAAGGUGGGGAUGACGUCAAGUCCUCAUGGCCCUUACGUGUUGGGCUACACACGUGCUACAAUGGCAUUUACAAUAGGAAGCAAGAUGGCGACAUCAAGCAAAUCCUAAAAAGAUGCCUCAGUUCGGAUUGUACUCUGCAACUCGAGUACAUGAAGCUGGAAUUACUAGUAAUCGCGGAUCAGCGCGCCGCGGUGAAUACGUUCCCGGGUCUUGUACAUACCGCCCGUCACACCAUGGGAGUUGGUUCUACCUUAAGGCAAAGUUUAAAACCUUUGACCACGGUAUAGUCAGCGUUUUUUGAAGUCGUAACAAGGUA
rnacentral:rRNA from 1 species